AAAUUGAAGAGUUUGAUCAUGGCUCAGAUUGAACGCUGGCGGCAGGCCUAACACAUGCAAGUCGAACGGUAACAGGAAGCAGCUUGCUGCUUUGCUGACGAGUGGCGGACGGGUGAGUAAUGUCUGGGAAACUGCCUGAUGGAGGGGGAUAACUACUGGAAACGGUGGCUAAUACCGCAUAACGUCGCAAGACCAAAGAGGGGGACCUUCGGGCCUCUUGCCAUCAGAUGUGCCCAGAUGGGAUUAGCUUGUUGGUGAGGUAACGGCUCACCAAGGCGACGAUCCCUAGCUGGUCUGAGAGGAUGACCAGCCACACUGGAACUGAGACACGGUCCAGACUCCUACGGGAGGCAGCAGUGGGGAAUAUUGCACAAUGGGCGCAAGCCUGAUGCAGCCAUGCCGCGUGUAUGAAGAAGGCCUUCGGGUUGUAAAGUACUUUCAGCGGGGAGGAAGGUGUUGUGGUUAAUAACCGCAGCAAUUGACGUUACCCGCAGAAGAAGCACCGGCUAACUCCGUGCCAGCAGCCGCGGUAAUACGGAGGGUGCAAGCGUUAAUCGGAAUUACUGGGCGUAAAGCGCACGCAGGCGGUCUGUCAAGUCGGAUGUGAAAUCCCCGGGCUCAACCUGGGAACUGCAUUCGAAACUGGCAGGCUUGAGUCUUGUAGAGGGGGGUAGAAUUCCAGGUGUAGCGGUGAAAUGCGUAGAGAUCUGGAGGAAUACCGGUGGCGAAGGCGGCCCCCUGGACAAAGACUGACGCUCAGGUGCGAAAGCGUGGGGAGCAAACAGGAUUAGAUACCUUGGUAGUCCACGCCGUAAACGAUGUCUACUUGGAGGUUGUGCCCUUGAGGCGUGGCUUCCGGAGCUAACGCGUUAAGUAGACCGCCUGGGGAGUACGGCCGCAAGGUUAAAACUCAAAUGAAUUGACGGGGGCCCGCACAAGCGGUGGAGCAUGUGGUUUAAUUCGAUGCAACGCGAAGAACCUUACCUGGUCUUGACAUCCACGGAAGUUUUCAGAGAUGAGAAUGUGCCUUCGGGAACCGUGAGACAGGUGCUGCAUGGCUGUCGUCAGCUCGUGUUGUGAAAUGUUGGGUUAAGUCCCGCAACGAGCGCAACCCUUAUCCUUUGUUGCCAGCGAUUCGGUCGGGAACUCAAAGGAGACUGCCAGUGAUAAACUGGAGGAAGGUGGGGAUGACGUCAAGUCAUCAUGGCCCUUACGACCAGGGCUACACACGUGCUACAAUGGCGCAUACAAAGAGAAGCGACCUCGCGAGAGCAAGCGGACCUCAUAAAGUGCGUCGUAGUCCGGAUUGGAGUCUGCAACUCGACUCCAUGAAGUCGGAAUCGCUAGUAAUCGUGGAUCAGAAUGCCACGGUGAAUACGUUCCCGGGCCUUGUACACACCGCCCGUCACACCAUGGGAGUGGGUUGCAAAAGAAGUAGGUAGCUUAACCUUCGGGAGGGCGCUUACCACUUUGUGAUUCAUGACUGGGGUGAAGUCGUAACAAGGUAACCGUAGGGGAACCUGCGGUUGGAUCACCUCCUUA
rnacentral:rRNA from 1 species